GGCACUCACUCUGGAAACCAGGCUGGC
rnacentral:piRNA from 1 species